rnacentral:sRNA from 1 species
UGAGCCUUGAUAUCAUGUAUCCUCUACUGUGUAUACGUGUCAUAAUGGUACGGCAUUUGAUAGCGCAGCUACUCAAUCAAAAGCAUAAGCGUUCGGUUUCAACUUUUCGCGGCCUCCAUGGGAUCAGACCCGGAGCCAAAGGAUAAACUCAAAGUCCAUUCGCUUGACUGCCUAGGUGUGAAGGAGAAAAUAUGCGGUGGACGUUGCAGAAGCAUGAAAGCAAAAGGUUUUAUCCAGCAUCUUGACCCUAACAGCAGACUGACUGGAUCCUGUAUCCCCUAUCCAAAAAUCACGUGGUACGCUAGGGCACCGUUGGAAAACCAAAAAAAAUAUCAUACGGAGACUCCAUGCUAUAAAUCCGAUGGGCUCCUUGAUUUCCUAUUUAUUGUCA